rnacentral:lncRNA from 1 species
CAAACACCCUGACUUAAAGCCAAGCUUUUUACUUGGGGCCCAAAGCUGCUGUUCAUCUACCAGCUGUUGGCAGUUUUGACCAAACUCGCGGGUCAGGCCAAAGCCACCGGAAGAAAUGUCUUGAGAGCCAAUUAAGCCACACAAAUGGGCCAUCCAAACGAAUAGCCCAAAAAGAAAGCCGCAAGAAAAACAAACAGCAAAAAAAAGCCAACAGAAGCUUAUGCAAGCAGAUGCAAAUUUUGCAGACCGUGAAAAGUGUUUGUCCACAUAAAUCGUUGGUGGGAAAGCCCGAAAGGAAACAGCAAACUUUGAUUAAACAGGCAGCAUGGAAACCACAAAUGAAAUAGAGCUUUCAGCGCGUUCAAUUGGCCAUGAGACACAUCGAUUUAGGCCUGGCCAAUUGUGUAGCUUAUUAAUGCGAAAGUGUAAAUUGUGACGCCAACAUGGAGGGCUCCCAAAGCGGCAAUUGAAUCGAAUAAAGACAGAUGCCUGAUUGCAAAUGGCAGAGGCGUAGCAAAGUGAGUACUUAGAGAAUGUUGAUGUAGACGGCAGCCAACACAUCUUAAACUGUGUGGAAGUCGAAGAAGAGCUGUCCGCAAAUGUUCACCUCCUACACAGGAAAGAAGUGAUUGCUAAGGGAAGAAAGCGACCAGAACCACUGCCUGGAAUCGAUCUACAUGCAGUCAAACAGGCUGCAGAUUCCAUUAAAUAUUCUCCGUUUUUCCCUUGGGAGUCCCUAGAAGGUGGAUUUUGCAUAUUUAUUUCAGAAUAACAUCCCACAAAUCCCUCAC